UACAGAGGUCUCAAGCGUUGUUCGGAUUCAUUGGACGUAAAGGGUGCGUAGGCGGCGCGGUAAGUCGGGUGUGAAAUCUCGGGGCUUAACUCCGAAACUGCAUUCGAUACUGCCGUGCUUGAGGACUGGAGAGGAGACUGGAAUUUACGGUGUAGCGGUGAAAUGCGUAGAUAUCGUAAGGAAGACCAGUGGCGAAGGCGGGUCUCUGGACAGUUCCUGACGCUGAGGCACGAAGGCCAGGGGAGCAAACGGG
rnacentral:rRNA from 1 species